AUUAGAAUAUUUAAAAGGUAUAGCCGCGCGGCUAUACUCCGUAAAUAUAUUAGAAUAUUCAAAAGGUAUAGCCGCGCGGCUAUACUCUGUGUACAUACUCGA
rnacentral:miRNA from 1 species